CUUUAUAUUAGCAGGCAGAAAGAUUACUGGUGCUUUUUAAAAAGGAUUUUAUUUGACAGGAUUAAAAUGGAGGAUUUUUUGAUACUUGAUAAUGUCUUACUUAUUCACUUUUCUGUUUUUAUUUCUUAAUUUCAUCACAAAUUUUUUCCAGGUGUUCAUCCUGAAGGCAACCGUAUAGUCAAAGAAGCAUUUGACAUCCUAAGAAGCCAUCAGUUCGGUGAAAUAAAAGUUGAAAUUUUAAUGAUUAACAUCUGAUUGGUAUGUUUGGUUUUUGAUGCAAGCAGUAAAUGUAGGUCACCCAUUAUUCAGAGAUGCAGUGAACUGAAGUAAUACUUGAUGUAGCAGUUGACAGAGCACUCAAAUGAACUAGAAGGUGCACCCAAGUUUUACAGAAUUAUAAAAUGUUUCUUUGUCAGAAGCAAAGAACGAAACUUGGACCAAGUCUUGUAAACCAGUCUUUGAUGACGUUUCAGGUGAGUCUCGAUUUCAUGGUUUCAAAAUCUGCAAUUAGAGUGAUAUAAGAGAAAUAAGGAGAUAGCAGUAGGGAAUGGCUACGGAAGAACAUUUUAGAUAUAUAGGCUGUGACUUCUGAACUAGACUUGCAGAAGGGAUUAAAAAAAUAGAAAUGUGGUCAUGUUUCUGCUGGAUGUUUCCGAUAAUCACUUCAGAUUACAUUAGACUGACUUUCGAUUCUAGGUGCAGAGUUAGCAUCAUUUCAUGAAAGACCAUCAAUAUAUGGUGGUUAGGUUCUCCAUUUUGAAGAUACUUGAAUAUAGGCUCCAAGUUGUCGUGCAGAAAUAACGCUCUGACACCCCCGAUCUUCAGUUGUUUAGCUGACCAUAUCCAGAAGUGCAUAGGCCUAGUCUCUUUUGGUCAGUCAAGUCUCCUCGCACAAUGUGAAUAUUAUUGUUAUCCAGACAACGUGAAUGAAUCGUUAUGAUAAGUAAGCGUGGAGGUAAUUUAUGUAAGGGACGUUUCUCAAGGUACUGCUGUGGUUUGUAGAAGUUCCUGAUAUUCCAGAUCAGUGAUAAGAGAGCUGUGUUAGUAUCCAAUGGCUCAAGAUGGUGGUAAUGCUUCUCAGAAUAGUAAGUAAUAAGAGCGAUAGAGAGUUGGAGGGAAGGUGACCAGUGUAAAUAGUAUACUACUCACAAAAAUGGUAAAUACAUUCUUUGGUACGGAAGUUUUAUACACUUGAAUGAUGUUUAGGACAGGAUAAUUAUUUCAUAACGGCAACAGCGGCAUAAAAAAAAAAAAUCAGCAAUUUGGUUAAUGUAAAGUUUUCUUGUAAAUGUUAACGAGCACUUCCACUGAUUACCUUUUAUGCUGACGCUAAUCUAUAUUUCGAGCAAUCCAAGACACGUUCAUUUCUGGCCCUUGAAAUAUUCCAAGCUGCUCCAGAAUUACUUUGAAAAGUUUAAUUUCUUUUUAAUACUCGGCGUAAUUCAUGACGAUAUUCAGGAACGGGAUUUCCCUCGAUGAGGUUAUCUUCCCCCCACCUACCCAUCCCCCCAGUGAAACCAUUCAUAAGAUACCCUCCCUUGUUGUGAACAAGACCAACUAAGAAUAAUAGAUUUGGGUUCUUUAAAUAGCUUAAAAAAGUUAAGUAUGCCUUAGUGUAACCAGACCACUGAGCUGAUUAACAGAUCUCCUAGGGCUGGCCCGAAAAAUUGGAUAGUUUUACAUGGCUAGAAACUAAUUGGUUACCUAACAACGGGUCCUACAUCUUAUUGUGGGAUCCGAACCACAUCGAGAAAUGAAUUUCUAUCACCAGAAAUAAAUUCGUCUGAUUUCUUGUUGGCAGAGCGGGGAAUAGAAUCUGGACCCUAAGAUUGGUAGUCGGGCAUGUAACCAACAGACUCGUCCAGCGAGAAAGCUCUAACUAGAUCUGCUUGUUAGCGUUGAAUCACGUCGGUGAUUCAGUUCUUUAACUGUACUGGUGAACUUUCAAAUACUUACUGAACCUCCCAUUUUCCUUGACGGGUUAGAUUAUAUUUUGUCCACUGUCUACUGUUUCGUGCCAUAUUAUUUCAAUUCCCACUUGGUCUAAGUAUUCAAACUAUGGUCUGUAACCUUUCUCCAUAAUUUAUUAGACCAGCUUUUUUCAGACUUACGCAGCGACCGACAACAAGAACUACAUUUUGCAUUGCUACCCGUUAUAUACUCACGUGUAAUAUAAAUCAGACAACUCUAUUCACUGCGUUCAUUUAUUUAGCAUCGACCAUUUAUUUAUAUGCAUAUUCCUUAUAUUCCGCACAUAUUGGAAUUGUAUUGAAUGGUAAAGUAUUAUUUAUAGAAAAAUAAAGUUAAAGAAAUUCCCGACACAAAGGUAAAGUAAGUAUUAAAAAAAAAAA